rnacentral:rRNA from 1 species
GAUGAACGCUGGCGGCGUGCCUAAUACAUGCAAGUCGAGCGAACGGACGAGAAGCUUGCUUCUCUGAUGUUAGCGGCGGACGGGUGAGUAACACGUGGAUAACCUACCUAUAAGACUGGGAUAACUUCGGGAAACCGGAGCUAAUACCGGAUAAUAUUUUGAACCGCAUGGUUCAAAAGUGAAAGACGGUCUUGCUGUCACUUAUAGAUGGAUCCGCGCUGCAUUAGCUAGUUGGUAAGGUAACGGCUUACCAAGGCAACGAUGCAUAGCCGACCUGAGAGGGUGAUCGGCCACACUGGAACUUAGACGCGGUCCAGACUCCUACGGGAGGCAGCAGUAGGGAAUCUUCCGCAAUGGGCGAAAGCCUGACGGAGCAACGCCGCGUGAGUGAUGAAGGUCUUCGGAUCGUAAAACUCUGUUAUGAGGGAAGAACAUAUGUGUAAGUAACUGUGCACAUCUUGACGGUACCUAAUCAGAAAGCCACGGCUAACUACGUG